GACGAACGCUGGCGGCGUGCUUAACACAUGCAAGUCGAGCGGUAAGGCCCUUUCGGGGGUACACGAGCGGCGAACGGGUGAGUAACACGUGGGUGACCUGCCCUCAGCUCUGGGAUAAGCCUGGGAAACCGGGUCUAAUACCGGAUAUGACUCCAUGACGCAUGUUGUGGGGUGGAAAGCCUUGUGCGGCUGAGGAUGGGCCCGCGGCCUAUCAGCUUGUUGGUGGGGUGAUGGCCUACCAAGGCGACGACGGGUAGCUGGUCUGAGAGGAUGAUCAGCCACAUUGGGACUGAGACACGGCCCAGACUCCUACGGGAGGCAGCAGUGGGGAAUUUUGGACAAUGGGCGAAAGCCUGAUCCAGCCAUUCCGCGUGAGUGAAGAAGGCCUCGG
rnacentral:rRNA from 1 species